GUGGGCAGCACCAUCAGAUUCUCCUCCUGCUCACCAAGAACUUGUGGUACUUUUCUGCCAAGAUCUCUGGCCUGGAGGGAAGGAUCCUAUCCUUCUCAGUCUCUGGGGCGUCGAGCUCUCUAACAUCCCGUGGGGGAGGCGCACUCAUGCGGGCAGAGAAGGAAAAGCAGAAAGUACAUACAGAAAGUACAUACGGACUGGCUAGCGUCCCACUGAAGCCACUGAUGUGGAUGAAGAUACAGGCUGAAUGUGCCGGGAGACCAACCCUUCUGGAUAAGAUUACAGAGUUUACCAGAACUAAUAAUCAGCUUCAUUGUCCACCAAACUGCUCUCACAAACACAGGUAUUGUAACUGUGUUACAGUGUUAAAAAGCAUCAAUACUUCUCUUUAAAGCCCAUUCUGUCCUCAGCAGGCUUGGAUGCAUUCAUUGUGGAGGAGUUCACUGGAGAACAGUUACAAGUCAACCUUUAGUUCCCAGCGGAGUCAUGCUAAGCUGGACCGUGGAACAUGACCAGAGGCUGGCCAUUCUACACGGUCAUUUAACUUCUUCCAGUAACUCAUUAACUAUUUGUAUUCCUGCAGUCACGAUCGCGUGCCUGUGCGUAGACUCUCCCAAAUGUGUUUGAAGGGUUUUUCUGUGUAACCCUGGCUGUCCUGGAACCUGUUCUGUUGACCAGGCUGGCCUCAGAAUUUGCAGAGAUCCACCCGCCUUUGCUUCCUAAGUGUUGGGCAUCAACUGUGUAUGCCACCGCUACCUGGUGACAAAAUUCUUUUUUAAAGACAUUUCAAGGCCUAUGGAUAAACAUCAGUUGACACAGGGAUUUCUUUACUGAUAGACCCAGGCUACCUCUGUAAUGUUUCAAGACCUCCAAAUCAAGUUGGCCUUUCUCUUUCUACUUCCCCUAAAGUGCAUGGUGUGCCAUGUCAGAGAGACGAGAGGAGGCUAUGGCUGGAGUACAUUGGAUGCUCCUGGGUGUGACUAUUACUGAUCAGCACCUUGGAGACCCCUUGCCACAGAAAAGAGUGAUGCCUUACCUCAGGGGGACACAGGUGACAAAUGGUUUUCAGUAGUAACCAUGAGGAAGAAUCAGUUAUCGUAAUGGCCAAGAAGAAACACCGUGGAAAAUGGUCUUGUAUUGAACCUCUAUACAAUCAUGCUAGCAGGAUAUAAAAGAAAAUAAAAGGAUUUCUGUGACUCCGGCCACUGCCGUGUGACUAUGAAAGCCACCGUGCUGCUCUUCUCUUGGGCUGAGUAGGCCCUGGGCAGGGUGGCGAGAGUGCUGUGAAAUGGAAGGAAGGAAGAAGAGGGAGAGAGAAAAUGCAAGCCAUCUCGGGACAGGGUAGACAGAGCACCUACCCAGCCUGUCAGGGUUUGGAUUUAAUCCCCUUCUCUGCGGAAAAACAAAACAAAACAACCAACACAUUAAAAAUAAUUAUUAUGGUGU
rnacentral:lncRNA from 1 species